rnacentral:rRNA from 1 species
AAACCUGAGCGACAAGGUGCUGCUAUCGAAACUGUCUUUGAGUGUGAACUAUAAGUCUUUUGACUUAUGACCAUCACUCUAGACGUUUAUGUUUUGGUGUUGGCCCUUGAUGCUCAUUUGAACGCAACGGACGUGAUUGCAACCCCUUGUUGAGAUUUAUCCGAUCUCUACGUUCACUGAACCACACUCUUUAGCGAGAGCAGUGGGGAUGUGGAUAAACUCGGGGGACUGCUGACUAUAAACUUUUCUCAAACCAGAGGAAGGUUGCGGCAAUAACAGGUCUGUGAUGCCCUCAGAU